rnacentral:rRNA from 1 species
UACGGGGGGGGUAAGCGUUGUCCGGAAUUAUUGGGCGUAAAGGGCUCGUAGGCGGUUUGUCGCGUCGGGAGUGAAAACCAUGGGCUUAACUCAUGGCUUGCUUUCGAUACGGGCAGACUAGAGGUAUGCAGGGGAGAACGGAAUUCCUGGUGUAGCGGUGGAAUGCGCAGAUAUCAGGAGGAACACCGGUGGCGAAGGCGGCAUCCUGGACCGACACUGACGCUGAGGCGCGAAAGCUAGGGUAGCAAACGGG